UGCUAAUGGAAAAGUCUCUGGUUAGAUUCUUAAGCCACAGUAAGCUAUGGGAAGGAUGUUACCAAAAGCCCUAGGACUGUUUGCUGGUAUACUGUCCUUUUGUUGCCUUCCCUGGGUUCCCUAUGCCCUGACUGCUGAUGGUUGGGACAAUGUCUUCAAGUGGCUAUGGGGUUGCCACCCAGAACUGAACCUGUGCCAUGUUCCUGUCACCAGCUGGCUCUGGCACGGCUCUCAGGUGCCCUGGGGUUCUCCAGGAGGAUGGUUUCAGUUCAGGACUUGUCAUUGUUGCCCAGGCAAGAACUCAAAAGCUGGGGAUGCCAGGUUGCCCCUGCUAAAAUUCACGUUGUCCUUCAGGCAGGUGGAGGCAUCUGACUGGUGGUGUUCAUUUUUUAAUCCCACCCAUGGGUUUCUUCUCAUCUGUGAUAGAGAGGAGCUAAGAAAGCAUCAUAAAGACCACAGUAGGUGUUGGCGCUGAGUGAUGGGUCUGGAUCUGCACUGUAUGCCCUGGAUCAGGGAUUGAGGGCAGGAGAAAGGCUUGUUCCUCUCAAGCACUGAAGAAACAGAUUAGGAACUUGUAAUGAGGAAGAAGGUCCUCAAAAACCCCUACUUUAGUAGACCCUGAGAUUUCGAAGCCUAAUGCCUUGUAUAAGAAGAUUGGAAACCACGGGCAUUGCAAUGUACUUCAAACUGCAAUCCUAUAUUAAGGUCAGAGCCCAGUCUCUGGAUCACACCAUCCCCUGGGAGUCAUCUCUCCUCUGUGCACAUUCCAGGCCUCCUAUUUUUUUCCCAUUGAAAUGAUUUUAUUCAUAGAAUAGUUUGAGUUGGAAAUGACCAACUUAAACCUCUAAAGGUGGUCUAUGGUCCAAAUCCCCUGCAAUGAUCGGGGAUAUCCACAGCUCCAUCAGGUGCUCAAAACCCUGUCCAGCCUCAUCCCUUUUCCCCAAGGGAUGGGGCUAUUUUCUCUGGUACCCACAACAGUAUUGUAUCAGAUGGCUGAAAUGGGGUGGUUGUGUGAUGUACUGCACACUGGUUCCAAAGGAAACCCCACAAAGCAGGAUCAACAGCCUCUAUCUUCAUCAGCAGGU
ensembl:lncRNA